rnacentral:sRNA from 1 species
CAUGUGCACGCUCUGUUUACGCAUCCACUCACACCUGUGCACCCUCCGUAGUUCUGUGGCAUGGGGGACUCUGUCCUCCUGUUGUGGCUCUACGUUUUUACACGCGCUCUGUAACAAAGUAUCAUGGAAUGUAUGCCGCGUUUAACGCAAUACAAUACAACUUUCAGCAACGGAUCUCUUGGCUCUCGCAUCGAUGAAGAACGCAGCGAAAUGCGAUAAGUAAUGUGAAUUGCAGAAUUCAGUGAAUCAUCGAAUCUUUGAACGCACCUUGCGCCCUUUGGCUAUUCCGAAGGGCAUGCCUGUUUGAGUAUCAUGAACACCUCAACUCUCGUGGUUUGCUACGAUGAGCUUGGACUUUGGGGGUUUUGCUGGCCUGUGGUCGGCUCCUCUCAAAUGAAUCAGCUUCCCAGCGUUUGGUGGAGUCGCAGGUGUGAUAACUAUCUACGCUUGUUGUUUUUCACCAGAUAACCUUCGGCGAUGGAGGUUCGUUGGGGCUCAUAAACGUCUCACCUCAGCGAAGA